AGGUCUCCUUUCCUUCUGGUUUAGAGUUUUCAGAGUACCCUGCUGUGGCCUUGGAAACAGAAAACCCACACAGAGGUCAAACGCAGUUCUCGUGGAGUCACCUUGUCAUCCUGCUUUGUUUUGGAAGGAACUGGGUCGGAGGCAGCACAGUAGGACUACAGCAUCUUUAACCCUUGUGCCUAGCAGAGUUCCACAUACAUGAAAUAAGAUGCUUUGGGAAAUCAUUCUUCUUUUUGCAACGUCAGUGACUUGAACCAGAAACUGAUAUUGACUCACUUGGGCUCUGACUCUUUCCAAGUUACACAUCUGGGGGCCUAAGGAACUGCCCCAUGAGUUCCCGGAGCUGCGAUGGGCAUGGGACGGGAAGCUUUGUAAGCAAUUAAUCACACAGUUAGCCUCAUCUGAUCACCACUGGCCACGAUCAGGCCCUCUGAAAGUGCCUAGUUGGAUGCUUGCCAAUCUGCUAUGCCUUGGAGGAAAAAAUCAUUUCAAUUUAAGAAAAUAGACACAGAAGCAAAAAACCAAAGUGAGCCUGGAAGGUUUGCCUGUCUGUGACAGUCUACAGAGCAGCUGUUUGUGCCUGUCACCUGCUCAGGCUCUCACGGUGACUGCAUGGGGAGGGCAGGGUGUGUGCAUUGAUACCUGCCGUGCCCAGUGUACGCCGAGGUUUGCCCAUGCUGCAGCUGGAAGGCUGCAGAACAAAGGUUCGUUCCAACCUCUACACUUGAAUUGCAUUCUGCGUCAUCAUCCUGCCUUCUAGAACAACAUCCAACUCCGUGGGCUGCCUUUUAAAAUCUUGAUGGAGGGGGAGAGGAGUAUGUAUGUUGCUUCAGCCCUUAAUUUGCAAGGUGGUGAAACCACUAUGGGCCUGGCCAAAUCAGCAAGAAGGGGGCUGGAGGAAGGGCAGCUGUCUUGGGGUACACUGGGACUGGAAGGAGCUGCCUUCCUGAAGUCCUCCUUGCUUCUCUGAAGUUGUCCCAGCACAGCUGUGGCUUCCGGGAGAGGAAUGUCAGGGCCCUGAUAAGGAAAUGAAGUGGAGCCCGCACCUGCCCAGAAUGUGAAAUUUCUUCAGCAGCCUCUGACCGGGCUCCAGAUGGGCAAGUGCAGCCCCUCCCACACCUGCUGAGUUUGAUCUCCCUCCUCCUGGAUGCUGUGAGGCUUGGCACCUGCCCAGCCAGGCACUCAGGAAACCUGCUGGGGGUCUCUGAGCGCCCACCAGGGUAAACCAAGGUCCCUUUCUUGUGUUAAAGAGAAGAACUGGGAUGGAAGCGUGCCCAGGGCUCUUUGGAAGCACCCAGGAGGGGCAAUGGAAGGCUUCCUGGGAAGAGGGUUUCUGGGUUGCAUUUUAAAAUACACACAGGAGUUAGCUAA
ensembl:lncRNA ITPKB-IT1 ITPKB intronic transcript 1